CACGCAGUAAACGAUGAAUACUAACUGUAUGCGAUAUACUGUAUGCGGUACAGCGAAAGCGUUAAGUAUUCCACCUGGGGAGUACGUUCGCAAGAAUGAAACUCAAAGGAAUUGACGGGGGCCCGCACAAGCGGAGGAACAUGUGGUUUAAUUCGAUGAUACGCGAGGAACCUUACCCGGGCUUGAAAUGCAGAAGACCGACGAAGAAAUUCGUUUUCCAGCAAUGGCUUCUGUGUAGGUGC
rnacentral:rRNA from 1 species